rnacentral:rRNA from 1 species
UUGACCUCGGAUCAGGUAGGGAUACCCGCUGAACUUAAGCAUAUCAAUAAGCGGAGGAAAAGAAACCAACAGGGAUUGCCUUAGUAACGGCGAGUGAAGCGGCAACAGCUCAAAUUUGAAAUCUGGUCCCUUGGGGCCCGAGUUGUAAUUUGUAGAGGAUGUUUCGGGUACCGCCCCGUUCUAAAUUUCUUGGAACAGGAUGUCAAAGAGGGUGAGAACCCCGUCUUGGAUCGGCGGUAGGGCCCAUGUGAAACUCCUUCGACGAGUCGAGUUGUUUGGGAAUGCAGCUCAAAAUGGGUGGUAAAUUUCAUCUAAAGCUAAAUAUUGGCCAGAGACCGAUAGCGCACAAGUAGAGUGAUCGAAAGAUGAAAAGCACUUUGAAAAGAGAGUUAAACAGUAUGUGAAAUUGUUGAAAGGGAAGCGCUUGCAACCAGACUUGAGCGCGGCGGUUCCCCCUUCCUUCUGGUUGGGUUACUCCGCCGUGUCCAGGCCAACAUCGGUUUUGGUGGUCGGUCAAAGGCCCCGGGAAUGUACCUACCCUCCGGGGUCGGCUUAUAGCCCGGGGUGUCAUGCGGCCUACCGGGACCGAGGAACGCGCCUCUGGCGAGGAUGUUGGCGUAAUGGUUGUAAGCGACCCGUCUUGAAACACGGACCAAGGAGUCUAACAUCUAUGCGAGUGUUAGGGUGUCAAACCCUUGCGCGGAAUGAAAGUGAACGGAGGUAGGAAGCCUUGAGGCUGCACUAUCGACCGAUCCUGAUGUCUUCGGAUGGAUUUGAGUAAGAGCAUAGCUGUUGGGACCCGAAAGAUGGUGAACUAUGCCUGAAUAGGGUGAAGCCAGAGGAAACUCUGGUGGAGGCUCGCAGCGGUUCUGACGUGCAAAUCGAUCGUCAAAUUUGGGUAUAGGGGCGAAAGACUAAUCGAACCAUUGAGUGGGAUGCUGCAUCGGCCACGCUCUCUCGAACACGCGUAAACGCGGGGUGUUGGGGGGGUUGGCUGAUGGUUAAAGACAAGACAUCUUACCGCAGCUACUAGGUGGUUAAGUGUCAACUAAAAGGGUUGGCAAGUGCCUGUUUCCGGUGCGACAUUGUCAAAUUGCGGGGACCUCCUAAAGCUCAAGCUACCAAGCCUACGCUCGAAAGACGUGGGUGGCCGGGGUAAUGACCUAGGGUACGGUAACAACGCUUGAGAUGCUGGCUCCAGUCAAGUUUCAGCGCAAUGGAAAAUCCGCAGCCAAGUUCUAAUGACCCUCCCAAGGACCCGACGGUCCUCGCGGGGGUACGAAUGCAGUUCACAGACUAGAUGGCAAUGGGCCCUCGCAUGCGGGGGCUUAAGGUAUAGUCGGGCCCCCGGGGAGACCCGGGCGCAUACGCUAAAUCCACCGUGGGAGGAAAACCUCCGGUUGACGGAGACCCCGGUGGACCUGAACGGUGCGGCUGCCCCUAGAGGCAGUGGAAUUUUAAACGCUGGUAGCUGGUUCCUGCCGAAGUUUCCCUCAGGAUAGCAGUAACGUUUUCAGUUUUAUGAGGUAAAGCGAAUGAUUAGAGGCCUUGGGGUUGAAACAACCUUAACCUAUUCUCAAACUUUAAAUAUGUAAGAAGUCCUUGUUACUUAGUUGAACGUGGACAUUUGAAUGUACCGUUACUAGUGGGCCAUUUUUGGUAAGCAGAACUGGCGAUGCGGGAUGAACCGAACGCGAGGUUAAGGUGCCGGAGUGCACGCUCAUCAGACACCACAAAAGGUGUCAAUGCAUCCAGACAGCCGGACGGUGGCCAUGGAAGUCGGAAUCCGCUUAGGAGUGUGUAACAACUCACCGGCCGAAUGCAUUGGCAAAGAAAAUGGAUGGCGCUUAAGCGUGCCACCUAUACC